AUUGAACGCUGGCGGAAUGCUUUACACAUGCAAGUCGAACGGCAGCACUGGUGCUUGCACCUGGUGGCGAGUGGCGAACGGGUGAGUAAUACAUCGGAACGUACCCAGUCGUGGGGGAUAACGUAGCGAAAGUUACGCUAAUACCGCAUACGUCCUGAGGGAGAAAGCGGGGGACCGUAAGGCCUCGCGCGAUUGGAGCGGCCGAUGGCGGAUUAGCUAGUUGGUGGGGUAAAGGCCUACCAAGGCGACGAUCCGUAGCGGGUCUGAGAGGACGGCCCGCCACACUGGAACUGAGACACGGUCCAGACUCCUACGGGAGGCAGCAGUGGGGAAUUUUGGACAAUGGGCGCAAGCCUGAUCCAGCCAUACCGCGUGGGUGAAGAAGGCCUUCGGGUUGUAAAGCCCUUUUGUUGGGAAAGAAAUCCAUCUGGUUAAUACCCGGGUGGGAUGACGGUACCCAAAGAAUAAGCACCGGCUAACUUCGUGCCAGCAGCCGCAGUAA
rnacentral:rRNA from 1 species